AGGCAGUGAUGAGGAAUUUGAGAAUGUCAUGCACCACUCUGAUUGAAAAUCUUCGUGCUGAUAAAUUUCUCACACCCAUUUUUCCUUCUGAGCCU
rfam:Punica granatum cultivar Dabenzi scaffold90, whole genome shotgun sequence.